AAAUUCCUGCGGUGUGCGUGAAACGGAUAAUGUCUUGAGCCAACGUUCUAACCCCGCGGGGGAUUGCUCCGGACCGGCAGAAGCGGCGUAUGCUGCGCAAGCUAAGGAUCGGGAAUCCCCCACUCCUUAGUGGAGCGGGUCAAGACGCCCCGUUCACGGCAUCGCGGGACUUAU
rnacentral:other from 1 species